rnacentral:rRNA from 1 species
GGGUCUAUCCAUUGGUCGGGCUUUAAGGUCCGUACUGGUUCGAUGGGUUCCUACCUUCUGAAUAACCGGCAUGCCACUCAGUUGGUGCGCCGGGGAAGCAGAGCUAUUACCUUGAAAAAAUUAGAGUGCUUAAAGCAGGCUAUUGCUUGAAUAGAUUAGCAUGGAAUAAUAAAAUAGGACGGCAUGGUUCUAUUUUGUUGGUUUCUAGGAUCACCGUA